UUUUAUGGUGGCUGUGCGUGCGCCGGAACUUGCAUAGUCCGCCGGUCUGUCAACCCAUGUACAGCUGCCACCCUU
rnacentral:antisense_RNA from 1 species